rnacentral:rRNA from 1 species
UCAGGAUGAACGCUAGCGGCAGGCUUAACACAUGCAAGUCGAGGGGCAGCGGGAUGUAGCAAUACAUUGCCGGCGACCGGCGGAUGGGUGCGUAACGCGUAUGCAACCUACCUUAGUACAGGGGAAUAACCUUUCGAAAGGGAGACUAACACCCCAUAGUAUUGAUUUAAGGCAUCUUAGAUUAAUUAAAUAUUUAUAGGUAUAAGAUGGGCAUGCGUAUGAUUAGCUAGUUGGUAAGGUAACGGCUUACCAAGGCGACGAUCAUUAGGGGUUCUGAGAGGAAGGUCCCCCACACUGGUACUGAGACACGGACCAGACUCCUACGGGAGGCAGCAGUGAGGAAUAUUGGUCAAUGGGCGCAAGCCUGAACCAGCCAUGCCGCGUGCAGGAAAAGACGGCCUUAUGGGUUGUAAGCUGCUUUUACAUAAGACUAACCGUAUAUUUGCGAAUAUACCUGAAUGUAUUAUGAGAAUAAGGAUCGGCUAACUCCGUGCCAGCAGCAGC